UUCUUAUCAAGAGAAGCCGAGGGACUGGCCCGACGAAGCUUCAGCAACCUCUGACUAUGUCAGAAAGGUGCUAAAUCCAGCAAGAUUAAAUUCUUGGAAGAUAAGGG
rnacentral:ncRNA from 1 species